GACGGCGCCGGGUUGCUCCCGGACCAGGUGCCGUUGAAGCCGGCGCUCGUCGACGCGCCGGCGGCCAGGGACCUGUUCCAGUCGAGCGCGGUCGCC
rnacentral:tRNA from 1 species